rnacentral:rRNA from 1 species
UGGGGAAUUUUCUGCAAUGGGCGAAAGCCUGACAGAGCAAUAUCGCGUGAGGGAAUAAGGCUUACGAGUUGUAAACCUCUUUUUUCAAAGAAGAAGAACUGACAGUAUUUGAAGAAUAAGCAUCGGCUAACUCUGUGCCAGCAGCCGCGGUAAUACAGGGGAUGCGAGUGUUAUCCGGAAUUAUUGGGCGUAAAGCGUUUGUAGAUGGAAUUUUAAGUUUUUUGUUAAAUUUAUAAGCUCAACUUAUUUUAAGCAAAAAAUACUAUUUUUCUUGAGUAUAAAAGAAGUAAAGAGAAUUUUCAGUGGAGCGGUGAAAUGUGUAGAUAUUGAAAAGAAUACCAAAAGCGAAGGCACUUUACUAGUUUAUUACUGACAUUGAGAAACGAAAGCUGAGGUAGCAAAUGGG